CCUACGGGAGCAGCAGUGGGGGAUAUUGCACAAUGGGGGGAACCCUGAUGCAGCGACGCCGCGUGGGUGAAGGAGCGUUUCGGCGCGUAAAGCCCUAUCGGCAGGGAAGAAGAUGACGGUACCUGACCAAGAAGCCCCGGUUAACUACGUGCGAGCAGCCGCGGUAAUACGUAGGGGGCAAGCGUUAUCCGGAUUUACUGGGUGGAAAGGGGGCGCAGACGGCAAUGCAAGGCAGGAGUGAAAGCGUGGGGCCCACCCCCGGAAUUGCUCUUGAAACUGGAGGGCUGGAGUACAGUAGGGGCGGGCGGAAUUCCUGGGGGAGCGGUGAAAUGCGUAGAUAUUAGGAGGAACCCGGAGGGCGAGGGCGGCCUACUGGACUGCAACGGACAUGGAGGCCCGAAGGCGUGGGUAUCAAACAGGAUUAGAUACCCUAGUAGUC
rnacentral:rRNA from 1 species